rnacentral:tRNA from 1 species
GCGGGGGUGUCCGAGCGGUCAAAGGGGCUAGCUUGAGGGGCUAGUGGCUUAGUGCCUUCGCGAGUUCGAAUCUCGUUCCCCGCA